rnacentral:rRNA from 1 species
CCCAGACUCCUACGGGAGGCAGCAGUGGGGGAUAUUGCACAAUGGAGGAAACUCUGAUGCAGCGACGCCGCGUGAGGGAAGACGGUCUUCGGAUUGUAAACCUCUGUCUUUGGGGAAGAAAAUGACGGUACCCAAAGAGGAAGCUCCGGCUAACUACGUGCCAGCAGCCGCGGUAAUACGUAGGGGGCAAGCGUUAUCCGGAUUUACUGGGUGUAAAGGGGGCGCAGACGGCAGCGCAAGCCAGGAGUGAAAGCCCGGGGCCCAACCCCGGAACUGCUCUGGAAACUGUGCGGCUAGAGUACUGGAGGGGCAGGCGGAAUUCCUAGUGUAGCGGUGAAAUGCGUAGAUAUUAGGAGGAACACCAGUGGCGAAGGCGGCCUGCUGGACAGUAACUGACGGUGAGGCUCGAAAGCGUGGGGAGCAAACAGGAUUAGAUACCCUGGUAUCG